GGGGACACUGAUAGCAACUUGGAAAAUGUUUGCUGCUUCGAGAUGUUUCUGCUCUAUACGUGCCCAUAUGGACCUAUAGAACUCCUAUGUUCACUCUGUGCCUUGGACUCCAGUGUUUUUGGGUAACAUUUUCUUCCUUUCUGUGACUAAAUGCACACUUUUGAGAAAAGGUUUGUACUGAAGAACUUCUUGGAAUACAUAAAUUAAUCUCCUUCCUUCAGCAUGAUGAUCUUGAUGGAGUUCAUGGCCCCGAAGCUUGUUUUUAAGAAGAGAAAAUGAUGGCACUUUGCACAUGGAGCCAUCGUCCGGGAACUGCUUCACAUAACGCUCUCUCGAUCGCAUUCCCAUGCCACAAGAUACACUACAAGGGGACCACGUUAUCCACUCAGACAUCAUGCAUGUAGAGCCAUCUAAAAAAG